AUAGUUAAGAUUACAUCUUAAAAAGUAUCAAGAAAGGUCACUGAGGUUAGCUACGGAUGUGCCACGUUCGUAUUCAAUAAAAUUUCUCAUAUUUUAUAUCCUACUUGUUUAUAAAAGAAUCGUGUAAUCUCUAUCGAAUGAACCAACAUCUAUAUAUUUCAAUUUUGUAUUAAAUAUAGAAUUUGAUUUACAGAAGAAAAAUCAAGUCCCAAAGUGCUUUAAAAAAAAUAGUUUUUAAUAGCAAAUAUUUUAAUGAUUAAUACCUUUUCAUGGUAGCUUUUU
rnacentral:lncRNA from 1 species